AUGACUGGCAACAUCAAACUAUUGCAGAAUAAACUUGAUGAAGUCAUUGGACAAAAAUGGUUUUUACUUGUUCCCGAUGAUGUAUGGAAUGAAGAUAAGAGAAUGUGGGAGGAUGAACUGAAGCCACUAUUGUGUUCUGUUGGUGGACCAGGAAGUGUUAUAGUGGUCACAUGUAGAAGCAAACAAGUGGCCUCUAUAAUGUGCACUGCCAAGCCCCACGAGCUAGUAUUUCUGAGUGAAGAAGACUCGUGGGAAUUGUUUUCGAACAAAGCAUUUAGCAAUGGCGUUGAUAACCAACCAGAGUUGGUCGCCAUCGGAAGGCGUAUUGUCAAUAUAUGUGGGGUUUGCCUCUUGCUCUUAAGACGAUGGGCGGAUUGCUGA
rnacentral:rRNA from 1 species